rnacentral:rRNA from 1 species
UAGGGAAUCUUCGGCAAUGGGGGGAACCCUGACCGAGCAACGCCGCGUGAGUGAAGAAGGUUUUCGGAUCGUAAAACUCUGUUGUUAGAGAAGAACAGCGCAUAGAGUAACUGUUAUGCGUGUGACGGUAUCUAACCAGAAAGCCACGGCUAACUACGUGCCAGCAGCCGCGGUAAUACGUAGGUGGCAAGCGUUGUCCGGAUUUAUUGGGCGUAAAGCGAGCGCAGGCGGUCAAUUAAGUCUGAUGUGAAAGCCCCCGGCUCAACCGGGGAGGGUCAUUGGAAACUGGUUGACUUGAGUGCAGAAGAGGAGAGUGGAAUUCCAUGUGUAGUGGUGAAAUACGUAGAUAUUAGGAGGAAUACCAGUAGCGAAGGCGACUUUCUGGACACAAACUGACGCUGAGGUACGAAAGCGUGGGGAGCAAACAGG